GACAAAAAGCCUGAACGAAGACUCGGCAGGAAGAGGAAGAUAUCACUUCGGUAUCUUUCUAUUUGGCAUUGUGCUUGAUUUGGAGAACGGAAACUAUCAACUAAUUCCAUUGAGGCUCCGAAGAUUUUCUAUUGCGGCAGCACCAAGGAUGGUGGCAUUGCCCGAAUGGUUGCAGGGAGCUGCUAACACCCUACGAGUCUUGUGUAUUUGGGAUUGUGAAAAACUUGGAUGCAUUACCUGAGUGGUUGACAAGUUUCACAUCCCUUAGAAUACUUCACCUUAGUGAGUGUCCAAAAUUGGUUUCUCUACCAGAAGGGAUGCAUCCACUCGAAGUUAAAAUAGAGCAUUGUCCUCAAUUGAAGAGGGGAAUCUAGUGCGAAAUCGACGAAGAUUGGCAAAAGAUUUCUCAUGUUCAAGGGGGCUGGGUCUGCUGUCUUUCCCCAUCUAUCUCCAAGUUUCUUUUUUGGCAGCACACAUACUUGUCUUGGGACUGCCUUGUUUUGAUUGUAUCAUGCUUUCAUUCGUUUUAUGUAGUUUCGACUGCUUGUAUCUCUUAACCUUUGGGUUUGUUGUAUUUACCAAAAAUAA